rnacentral:rRNA from 1 species
GCUUAACACAUGCAAGUCGAACGAGAUCUUCGGAUCUAGUGGCGCACGGGUGCGUAACGCGUGGGAAUCUGCCCUUGGGUGCGGAAUAACUUCCCGAAAGGGAUGCUAAUACCGCAUAAUGUCGUAAGACCAAAGAUUUAUCGCCCAAGGAUGAGCCCGCGUAAGAUUAGCUAGUUGGUGGGGUAAAAGCCUACCAAGGCGACGAUCUUUAGCUGGUCUGAGAGGAUGAUCAGCCACACUGGGACUGAGACACGGCCCAGACUCCUACGGGAGGCAGCAGUGGGGAAUAUUGGACAAUGGGCGAAAGCCUGAUCCAGCAAUGCCGCGUGAGUGAUGAAGGCCCUAGGGUUGUAAAGCUCUUUUACCCGGGAUGAUAAUGACAGUACCGGGAGAAUAAGCUCCGGCUAACUCCGUGCCAGCAGCCGCGGUAAUAC